AAAAUCCGGUUAUGGUUUCACAAUGUCUGCUGAAGAGAAAGAAAGAAAAAUGGCACAUUUGCCAAGAAAGGACACGGGAAAAAGGUACUAGGUUUGAGAAAAGGUUUAAACUCGCGCUUAGCUAGUAGUAAUGGUGAUCCUUUACCCCCAGUUCAGAAGCAUAUGGAUGAAACAUGUGACACGGAUUGUGAUAUUCCAGUGCACAUUGACCACGACUAUUACGGCAUCCAGGAAGAGGUUAUAGUGUGUAGUGAUGAAGUUGAUGAAGAUUCAUUUGUUCCCGAUGAAAAUACUUAUGACUGGCGGGUGGGGAGACGAAUUGUGGAGUUGGGCAUGCUCGCAGACGGCCUAAGAGCUUGCAAGCUUUGCCAAUUUCCUUUACAACUUCACAACUGCAUAAGUGAAAAGAAAUUUGGACUUUCGCACAUAUUAAAUAUAAAAUGUGAAAACUGUGAGCUAAUUAAUGACGUUGCUACAGGAAGCCGCCACAGAACAGAAAAAGGAGGGUUGGCCUGGGAUGCGAAUACAAAACUAGCUGCAGAAAUGAUCAAUGGAGGGUUUGGAGAAAGCCACAUAAAUACCUUACUUGCUGUUCUUAAUAUUCCUGGAAUAUGCCAUAAAAACUUGAAAGAAAGAGAGAGAGAAGUGGGGCAAAAACUUGAAGUCAUGGCAAAUGCAUCAUGUAAAAGAAAUCUGGCAAAUGAAGUAGCUUUAGUCGAUCCCAUUGUUAAGUUGACCUCUUGUUAUGUAAGGACUGAUUCACAUGAGGAUGGCAUUGUUGUAAGCUUUGAUGGAGCUUGGCAGAAACGAGGAACUGGAAGGGCAUAUAACAGUCUUACUUGUCAUGCCAGUCUGAUAGGCAACAAAACAGGUAAAUGUGUUGGUUAUGCACUGAAAAGUAAGAAAUGCCGUAUCUGCAGCGCCGCCAAGGAAAAAAAUGUAACACCAAGAAAGCAUAACUGCAAAAAAAUUGGAAAGGAUCGGCCAAAUCAAUGGAACCAGCCAUGGCUUGUGAAAUGCUGCAGUCUGUUUUGGACCAGGGAGAAAAAGUAUCAACUCUUGUGAUGGACAAUGACAGUACGACUAUAGCUAGAGUAAAGUCAACAGUGGACCAAAAUAUUACCAAGCGAUGUGAUAGUAACCACACAAGAAAAGGCUUUACAGCUUCCCUCAUAGAGUUGAGCAAGGCACACAAGUUACUGCGCAACACGAAAGUCCGCUCCCACAUUGAGAGGUGUUUUACCUACAGUACUUCCCAAAACAAACCAACCAGAGCAACUGGCUGAUGCAUUAGGCAGUAUAGUUCCUCAUUUGUAUGGUGAACAUUCUAGUUGUGGAUCCUAGUGCAGGGGCAAUGAGGAGGGAUACAAGCACAAGGCACUACCAUAUGGUAAACCCCUUGAUGACAGAGACCUUAGGGAAGCCCUGCAGUCUCUUAUUGAAAAAUUCAGUUCAAAGUCAUCUGAAUUGGCGUAUAUGGGUUCCACUCAGCCAAAUGAGAGUUUUAACUAUAUGGCUGCCUCGAAAGCACCAAAGAGAUUCUUAGCAAGAGUUGUUCUGUGUCGCCGGGUACCUACACUAUUAGACACAUGAGACGUAAAGACAGGAAGAUGCAAAGAAAACGACUAAGAGUUGGACAGCCGGAUGUUAAACGUAGGAGACUGGAACUAAAGGCUGAAAGGCAAUCAAAGAAUGCAUCUCAGUCUGUUCUUGAAGGAGACACAUAUCAGACAAACAUUUGCCUGGGGUCGGAAGAAAACAUUGAUUUAAAUGACAUUCAACUAAAUUCCUCUGUAGAAAACCUACACACAUAUCCAUUGGUGUUUUUUAAUUUGGAAACUGGAGGAUUAGGAAGAACAUCUGAUAUUAUUCAAAUUGCUGCAAAGUGCAAGGAAAAAGAAUUUUCAAUAUAUGCCAUACCAACUCGUUGCAUCAGCAAGGAGGCCUCUGCAGCAACAUGUUUAACCUUUGAUUGAAACAAUCUGUGCUACAAGGGAGAGGCAGUUCCAGCAGUUCCUCCAUUUGAAGCACUCAUUGCAUUCCUGAACUUUUUAGAUUCUUUUAAUCAUCCAAUUAUAGUUGGACAUAAUAUUCAAAGUUUUGACUUGCCUAAAUUACGCCACCAUUUAGGAAGUAGCAAUCUUCUUGAAAGAUUUAGUGAUAUUAUAACUGGGUUUUUAGAUACUCUGAAUAUUUCAAAAAAAUCUUUGAAAGAUGUUAACCUGUCCAAUUACAAGCAAGAGACAUUAGUGCAGACUCUACUAGGAGAGGAAUAUAAGGCCUAUAAUGCUAUGGCUGAUGUAACAUCAUUAGAAAAGCUGUAUUACUCAAAAUUGUGUCUGUCAGAUAGAACAUUAUGUGAAAAUAUUUUUUAUUUGUCAUAUUACACCUGCAAGGAAUCUUUAGAGCCUUUAUUAAGAUGCAAAGUUUUGUCAGCUUUAAUGCUUCGAAAGUUGGUUGUAAAUGGCCUCAGUUUGUCACAUUUGAGACAAAUCCAUACUAGAAACCCAGAAAAUGGUAUUCGAAAUGUAUUCACAGAACCAUUGACAGAAAAUCCCAAAGCUGCAAGAAUAACAAAGUCAGCAAAAGUUAUUCAGAAGGUUGUUGAGUAUUUCAGUUUGUAAACAUUCAUGUUCAUACAUGUAUUUUAGUGUUAUUAAACGUGUUUAAUG
rnacentral:misc_RNA from 1 species